rnacentral:lncRNA from 1 species
UUUAAUUAUCAUAAAUAAUUUGUACGGAAUACAUGGGAUUUUGAGGGUUGUCACAUUCUCCCCCUGUUAAGAGAAUUUCGUCCCGAAAUUUAGUGCGUGAUUACUGAGGAAGCUAGUUAAGUUGCGUUGUUUUCCUGAUUUUCCUGGGGUGUCACAUCAUCCCCCCAUUGAUUUGGAAUUUCGUCCCGAAAUUCUGCGGUAGCUUCAGUCUCAGUAGUGGUUGCAUUUUUCUUAAACAGCUGGGGAUACUUGAGUUUCAUUUGGUCUUCUCGUUCCCAGGUAUACUCUAGGCCACGACGGGAAUUCCAACGAACUCGGACGAGAGGUAUUCUAGUGUGCUUAAGAAUCUUAACGUCUUGAUCCGUAAUUUCUACUGGUUCCUCGACGAAUCGCAGCUGGUCGUCGAUAGUGAGCUCCUUGAGAGGAACUAUGAGGGUCUCAUCUGACAGACACUUCUUCAGAUUUGACACAUGGAAAACAUUGUGAACUCCGCUGAGUUCUUCAGGUAGAUUCAACCUGUAAGCGACUUUGCCAAUUCUCUCAAUGAUCUCGAACGGUCCGACAUAACGCGGGUUGAGUUUGCCUCGUUUGCCAAAGCGAACUACACCUUUCCAAGGUGAGACUUUGAGCAGCACUCGAUCCCUAACCUGGAACUCAAGUGGCUUUCUUCGCUUAUCGGCGUAGCUCUUCUUGUCACACCCCGAAAUUAUCAGAGCUGGCGUGACUGGACCGGUAUCUUCAUUGCACAGCGGAAGCAAAUAAGGUGAGACUUCUAGAAAACGAACGCCCACUAAGUACUCGAAUUCCCAUGGGUUCUCCUAUUCCAACCGUUCCAUAGUUUUGAUAAUGCAACCUGAGAAAGAACAUGCGAAAAAGUCAACAUAAUGUUGAGCGAGUUCAUAGUUUGUUUUGAAAAGAUUUAAAAUAAAUCUUUUUGAUAACCGAUUUAAAAGUUGUUGAGAAAAUAUAGAAAAAUCAUUUUCUUGGCAUGAUAUAUGAGGACUGUGAGUCUAGCCCAUGAGGGUGUUUGUGCAUUGCACGAGAGAGAAUGGGCCGAGCCCGAACGAACCUUUGUAAGCAGGAUCAGCGCUUCCUCUUACUUAGGUAUAACUUGAAAAACGUUACCAAAGUUUGUAAUUCAUGUAUUUGUUGA